UUUUUCCCUGUCAUCCAGGCUGGUGUUUCAUCCCUUCUGCAGCACCAGUUUGAGGAAUUGGCCAGGCACAAAUUAGGUGAUGGUAGUAGUGGGACAGAAAACAAAAGAAGGAAAUUGGCGGUUAUUGGUCAGGAUUGCAUGGAACCUCUUCAGGCUCUUCGAAGUGCUGGCAAUGAGGUUAUGUAUAUGAACGAGAUGGCAGAAAAGCGUAAAAAUAUGGAGAAUCUGAGGAAGAAAAGAAAAGAGGAGAAGAAACGUUUGCACGAACAGCGAAGAAAGCAGAAACAAAAACUAAAAAGAGAUGAAUCAUAAAAUGGCUUCUUGAGGUGAGGUCACUUCCUGACUGUCAUGUAGACUUCUCAAGGUGCUUCUUGUUUUUAAAAUAUGAACGUAGGAAAAACGAAAUACUUAUGUAUAAGCUUGUUUAUUGAAUCCAAUUCAACCGAUAAAGCCGUUCAUUUUUCUAAAUUGGCUAGAGUUAGUUUUGAACUCUUGGAUGAAUCUGAAGUUUAUGUUGGCAUAUGCUUAUCUAUUUGGUGCGUUGCUAGUUAUUUUCCUUCCAUUGCUACCCAAUAAUAUGACGAUGUUUGAAUGUUUC